UACGGGGGGGAGCAAGCGUUGUUCGGAUUUACUGGGCGUAAAGGGCGGGUAGGCGGCCACCGCAAGUCAGUUGUGAAAUCUCUGGGCUUAACCCAGAAAGGUCAACUGAUACUGCGGGGCUAGAGUGCAGAAGGGGCAACUGGAAUUCUCGGUGUAGCGGUGAAAUGCGUAGAUAUCAUUUGGAACGCCAAUGGUGAAAACAGGUUGCUGGGGGUGUGCUGACGCUGAGACACGAAAGCCAGGGGAGCGAACGGG
rnacentral:rRNA from 1 species